rnacentral:rRNA from 1 species
UACGGGGGGAGCAAGCGUUGUUCGGAUUUACUGGGCGUAAAGGGCGCGUAGGCGGUCAGCACAAGUCAGUUGUGAAAUCUCCGGGCUUAACUCGGAAAGGUCAACUGAUACUGUGCGACUAGAGUGCAGAAGGGGCAACUGGAAUUCUCGGUGUAGCGGUGAAAUGCGUAGAUAUCGAGAGGAAUACCAAAGGCGAAGGCAGGUCACUGGGCAGUUACUGACACUGAGGCACGAAGGCUAGGGGAGCAAACGGG